CUGACGCAGCAACGCCGCGUGAUCGAUGAAGCUUCUAGGAGUGUAAAGAUCUGUCGUGAGGGAAGAAAAGCUUGGAUGUAAAUAAUGUUCAGGUGUGACGGUACCUUACAAGAAAGCACCGGCUAACUUCGUGCCAGCAGCCGCGGUAAUACGAGGGGUGCUAGCGUUGUCCGGAAUAACUGGGCGUAAAGGGUCCGUAGGCGUUUUGCCAAGUUGAUCGUUAAAGCCACCGGCUCAACCGGUGAUCUGCGAUCAAAACUGGUAGAAUAGAAUAUGUGAGGGGAAUGUGGAAUUCCUGGUGUAGCGGUGACAUGCGUAGAUAUCAGGAGGAACACCAAUGGCGAAGGCAGCAUUCUGGCACAAUAUUGACGCUGAGGGACGAAAGCGUGGGGAGCGAACAGGAUUAGAUACCCUGGUAGUCCACGCCGUAAACGAUGAGUACUUGGUGGUGGAGGAUUCGACCCCUUCACUAUCGGAGCUAACGCGUUAAGUACUCCGCCUGGGGACUACGGCCGCAAGGCUG
rnacentral:rRNA from 1 species